rnacentral:lncRNA from 1 species
GUAGUUUCACUUUUCCUUUUCCUUCCAGUGCCCUAACCUGCCAUGGGUGUUGAAUCAGAGAUCAAAGGUUUCAGUUUUCUUCUUCUUUAUAGUUCCCUAACCUGCAAUAGGUGUUCAAUCGGAGGUCGAGGGUUUCAGUUUUCUUCUUCAUUACAAUGCCCUAUACUUUAAUUUUUUGCUAUGAAACCUCUAACAUUUGUCAACCAUUAUGCUAGGGAAAUUAGAAUUAACUAUUAAGAUGCAGCAGGCGUGUUUUAUUUUAAUGAAAUCUACUAAAAUUAAUUUAUUUUUUGUUGUAGAGCAGGAUUAUAUUGCUUAUGGGAAAGGUGUGUGAGCCAUGUCCAAUGAUUAAAAAAAGCAGGUAUGUAGGAUGAGUAGCAAUUUGGUCUGUUUUAAUUUGCAAUAUUUCAUAGUAGAUAUGAAAGGUUAUUCUCAAAUUUUUAAUAUCUCUUCCUUUUUAUAGAUGUAGAUUUGUGCUAGAUUUUUUUAUGCCUCCUUCUUGCCCUUCAAAUAUCAAAUUGUCAAUGUCAUGUUUUGGACAAAAUUCAUCUAGCAACACAUUAAAUAUCAAAAGCAGCUCGAAAUUCAAAGUAAAAGGAUCUCCGAAACAAAGGACAAACAAUAGUUUAAGCUCUAACUCUUAUUCUCACAAGUCGUAAAUGAAGAGAAAACCAAAGAAGAAAAAGAAGCAGGUUAUUACCUAUGCCUAGUCUUGGGUUUUACUAACCUCAGUCAUUUAUAGCACAUUAUCCUCUUGUUACUGAUUUUAUUAACCAAUACCAAUCAAUAAUAUUUAGAUUAACCCUAUUGGCUAAUGUCUAUUUAUUUAGCUUUCCAAAGGGUUCUUCAGUCAAGAACUUGGUUGAAAACAUUAUGGCCUCUAUCAAGUUUCAAUAUUUUGUUUCAUCAAAUCAAUUUGAUGAGUCUUCAAUGUUGUAUAUCAUCAAAUGUUAUACUACACUGUAAGAAUUUCAGAAGAUGAGAAUUUAAAAUUAUAAAAACACAAGAAAAUUCUUAUGACAACAACUAUUACUGGAGGUUAGAUUCAUUAUUUCAACUUUUAAGUUUUCAUUCCAAUUGUAGUAUUUCCUUAGCAAUCUACCAUAAUCUUUUACUAUAAUAACAUCAAAACUUUCUCAUGUUAUCAUCAGCAGGAAAGAAUGUUUGUUCUNCUUAUGGUNUCAUNCAUGAAGUUCCUUGGUUUAUUAUGAUGAGUAAGGAGAAGAUGAAGUACUUGCUGGACUGUCAAAGCAUUGGGAUUUGAGAAUACAAAACUCAUAUACCUUCUUAGUACCCUAUGAAAUACAAGGUAAGAUGAUAUAGGGACUUUUGUCGAAAGAAAUGGCAUGGGAGUUAGUGGAUGUGAAAUAUAACCCUCCC